rnacentral:rRNA from 1 species
GUAGGGGCCUAGCGUUGUCCGGAAUUAUUGGGCGUAAAGAGCUCGUAGGCGGUUCGGCAAGUCGGAUGUGAAAUCUCCACGCUUAACGUGGAGGGGCCAUUCGAAACUGCUGUGACUCGAGUCCGGUAGGGGAGUGUGGAAUUCCCGGUGUAGCGGUGAAAUGCGCAGAUAUCGGGAGGAACACCAGUAGCGAAGGCGGCACUCUGGGCCGGUACUGACGCUGAGGAGCGAAAGCGUGGGGAGCGAACAGGAUUAGAUACCCUGGUAGUCCACGCCGUAAACGUUGGGCACUAGGUGUGGGACUCUAUCGACGGGUUCCGUGCCGUAGCUAACGCAUUAAGUGCCCCGCCUGGGGAGUACGGCCGCAAGGCUA